rnacentral:rRNA from 1 species
CCUACGGGUGGCAGCAGUGAGGAAUAUUGGUCAAUGGGCGCGAGCCUGAACCAGCCAAGUAGCGUGAAGGAUGACUGCCCUACGGGUUGUAAACUUCUUUUAUAAAGGAAUAAAGUGAGGCACGUGUGCCUUUUUGUAUGUACUUUUUGAAUAAGGAUCGGCUAACUCCUUGCCAGCAGCCGCGGUAAUACGGAGGAUCCGAGCGUUAUCCGGAUGUAUUGGGUUUAAAGGGAGCGUAGAUGGGUUGGUAAGUCAGUUGUGAAAGUUUGCGGCUCAACCGUAAAAUUGCACUUGAUACUGGGAGGUUGGAGGACAGGUGAGGGUGGAGGAAUUAGUGGGGGAGCGGUGAAAUGCUUAGAUAUCAAGAAGAACUCCGAUUGCGAAGGCAGCUUACUAAACUGCCACUGACAUUGAUGCUUGAAAGUGGGGGUAUCAAACAGGAUUAGAUACCCGGGUAGUC